rnacentral:lncRNA from 1 species
GCUUAAUUGAUACCUGGUCAGUAUCCAUUAUGUUAUCGAUGACACACUCGACGAUUCUGACAUAACAUUGGCAACACCGACUACUAGUCGACAUCAUCGAUCUUCAGUCGGCUUAUCAGAAACUGUCAGCGUAAUAAGCGCAUAACGGUUACUUCCAUGAUCAGGUCAUUAAUUAUCCACUAAAUAGGUAUUAACUGUCCACUUUAUGACAUCACAAUGCCGAAAUAAGCGGGAUCCUAUGUGCAUAAUUGUCACAGACGAUUACCGAUCACUUGUCUAUAAAAGAAAGGUAAAUGAACGGGGAUGAUAAACCAAUUCUAAAAGCAAAAACUGUCAAUUUGAAUUCAUUACUGUUCAACCAAUUCUCCACUUCUAACUUAAACAUCGGAGAGUCUUCGUCGGAAAUAAUUUUGAUUGGUGUGGACGUUAUUUUACAGGUUGCUCUCAAGCGAAACUAAGCGCACCGAGGAUUUGGCUGCAACACUUUUGUAAACUACUUGCAUGCUCAUCUUCAAGAG